AUGGUCAUCAUCCAAGCAAGGCCACACCUGUAUAUAUUUUCGGAAAUGGCAAACGCUCCAUUUUCAGCAAAAUCUUUUCAAGCACUAACUGAGUAUUGUUUUUCCUGCACCUCUGGUAAACAAAUAUCACUUCUAAGGUCCUAAACCAUGUGUCUAAAACCAGCAAAUUACAGGAAGUCCUCCGCUUAUCAGGCAACCUCAAGGACAAGAUUUAUUAAUGCUGUCUAACCACCCAAGGAGGAAAUGGCUUAUGAUCUGAUAGAAAUUGCUGAGAAAUUGCAAAAACACUUGUGUGGCAAUGCUUCAGAUGGAGGACGAUGUGGAUGGCACUGGAUUUCGUGGCAGAAGGAAAGAGUGCAGGAGACUACUCCCCAGUUCACUUGAUUUUUACCUGAUGAUUUACAAGGAAUGUUGUAUAUUUGCAAAAGAAGCCUUUGUCCACUUUUCUGUAUAAAUUUGAUUUACUGAUUGCAAAGAUUAUAGUCUUUCUUUCUCUUCUAAGUAGAAUGACAAGACUUUCCAUCAUGCUAUUUUCAUUAGGGUGACAGCCUUUCAAUCCACACAUCUCUGACAUUUUUGACAAUGGUACUUGGCUGCCAACAAAAUAUUUUGCUACCUUUUUCUGGUUAAAAUUGGAGAUUCAAGCUGUGCAAUUUUUUGUUUUCCUUUUCCUUCCCCUGACUUUCUCUUUUGGCAGCUUAAAAUCUGUCUUAAUUGCUAAUUAUCCUUUACUAUUUGUAGUCUAUUAUUUCAUAAUAUCCUGAAAUGCACAGAAAAAUGUUAAGGUUUUGAUAGGUUUCGUUGCUGUAUCUUUUAUUUCAUAUAAAGAAUUAACUCCUGGAAAAACUAUACACUAAAUCUUAAACUUCUUGAAGAACAUUGCAAGUGGUUCAGUGAAAUUGGAUGUAGCAGAAGGUAUGCUAUUUAUGAGCUUCAAACGAACCACAAUAAAAUAUCUGAGCUUGAAUGAGCA
rnacentral:lncRNA from 1 species